rnacentral:rRNA from 1 species
GUAGCGGUGAAAUGCUUAGAUAUCACGAAGAACUNCGAUUGCGAAGGCAGCUUGCUGGACUGUAACUGACGCUGAGGCACGAANGCGUGGGGAUCAAACAGGAUUAGAUACCCUGNUANNCCACGCCGUAAACGAUGAAUGCUAGCUGUUAGCGAUAUACUGUUAGCGGCACAGAGAAAUCGUUAAGCAUUCCACCUGGGGAGUACGCCGGCAACGGUGAAACUCAAAGGAAUUGACGGGGGCCCGCACAAGCGGAGGAACAUGUGGUUUAAUUCGAUGAUACGCGAGGAACCUUACCUGGGCUUAAAUUGCAGUGGAAUAACGUGGAAACAUGUUAGCCUUCGGGCCGCUGUGAAGGUGCUGCAUGGUUGUCGUCAGCUCGUGCCGUGAGGUGUCGGCUUAAGUGCCAUAACGAGCGCAACCCUCAUCGAUAGUUACUAACAGGUUAAGCUGAGGACUCUAUCGAGACUGCCGACGUAAGUCGUGAGGAAGGUGGGGAUGACGUCAAAUCAGCACGGCCCUUACGUCCAGGGCUACACACGUGUUACAAUGGGGGGUACAAAGAGCAGCUACCUGGCGACAGGAUGCUAAUCUCAAAAACCUCUCUCAGUUCGGAUUGGAGUCUGCAACCCGACUCCAUGAAGCUGGAUUCGCUAGUAAUCGCGCAUCAGCCACGGCGCGGUGAAUACGUUCCCGGGCCUUGUACACACCGCCCGUCAAGCCAUGGGAGCCGGGGGGACCUGAAGUAUGCAACCGUAAGGAGCGUCCUAGGGUAAAACUGGUGACUGGGGCU